rnacentral:tRNA from 1 species
AGAGUAUUAAAAAGAUUUCUAAUCUUUAAAAAGUAAUUUACUAUGCUCUU